rnacentral:lncRNA from 1 species
CUGAAAUCAGAUUCUUUGAAGGCCUCAUUCCAGAACUAUGACCUUUGUCGUGUCAUGCUCAUUCUCUAUUACUCAUCUUGUUUCUCCUUUAUUCCUUUGUGCUUCUGCAGUCCCUUCAAAACUUCCACUCAAACACAGACUUGUCCUCUUUACUCUCUGCUAAGAAAACAUGAAGACAAAUGCAGGCUCUUUCCAAGUCUACAAUUUUGCAGGCCAAAAGUACUUCACACCUGGGAGCAGAUGCUGAUCUAAGCAGAAAUAAUGUAAGAAUUUUC